AUUGAACGCUGGCGGCAUGCCUUACACAUGCAAGUCGAACGGUAACGCGGGGCAACCUGGCGACGAGUGGCGAACGGGGGAGUAAAGCAUCGGAACGUGUCCAGUAGUGGGGGACAGCCCGGCGAAAGCCGGAUUAAUACCGCAUACGACCUAAGGGUGAAAGGGGGGGAUCGCAAGACCUCUCGCUAUUGGAGCGGCCGAUGUAAGAUUAGCUAGUUGGUGGGGUAAAAGCUCACCAAGGCGACGAUCUGUAGCUGGUCUGAGAGGACGACCAGCCACACUGGGACUGAGACACGGCCCAGACUCCUACGGGAGGCAGCAGUGGGGAAUUUUGGACAAUGGACGAAAGUCUGAUCCAGCUAUGCCGCGCGCGGGAAGAAGGCCUUCGGGUUGUAAACCGCUUUUGUCAGGGAAGAAAUCCUUUGAGCUAAUACCUCGGGGGGAUGACGGUACCUGAAGAAUAAGCACCGGCUAACUACGUGCCAGCAGCCGCGGUAA
rnacentral:rRNA from 1 species